rnacentral:rRNA from 1 species
AUGGAGCGGGGAGUGGCGAACGGGUGAGUAACACGUGAGUAACCUGCCGGAAAGUGGGGGAUAGCUCGCCGAAAGGCGAAUUAAUACCGCAUGUGGCCUGGGGUCGAUUGGCUCCAAAGCUAAAGAUUUAUUGCUUUCCGAUGGGCUCGCGGCCUAUCAGCUAGUUGGGGGGGUAACGGCCCACCAAGGCAGCGACGGGUAGCGGUUCUGAGAGGAAGACCCGCCACACUGGAACUGAGACACGGUCCAGACACCUACGGGUGGCAGCAGUCGAGAAUCAUUCGCAAUGGGGGCAACCCUGACGGUGCGACGCCGCGUGGAGGAUGAAGGCCCUAGGGUCGUAAACUCCUGUCACCAGGGAAUAAGGCUACUUCGGUAGAUUGAUGGUACCUGGAGAGGAAGGGACGGCUAACUUCGUGCCAGCAGCCGCGGUAAUACGAAGGUCUCAAGCGUUGUUCGGAUUCAUUGGGCGUAAAGGGUGCGUAGGCGGCGCGGAAAGUCCGGUGUGAAAUCUGGGGGCUCAACCCUCAAAUCGCACUAGAUACUCCCGCGCUAGAGGACUGGAGAGGAGACUGGAAUUCACGGUGUAGCAGUGAAAUGCGUUGAUAUCGAGAGGAAGACCAGCGGCGAAGGCGAGUCUCUGGACAGUUCCUGACGCUGAGGCACGAAGGCUGGGGGAGCGAACAGGAUUAGAUACCCUGGUAGUCCCAGCAGUAAACGGUGCACGCUUGGUGUGGGCGGUUUCGACCCCGUCCGUGCCGGAGCUAACGUGUUAAGCGUGCCGCCUGGGGAGUACGGCCGCAAGGCUAAAACCUAAAGAAAUUGACGGGGACCCGCACAAGCGGUGGAGUAUGUGGCUUAAUUCGAUGCAACGCGAAGAACCUUACCUGGGCUUGACAUGCAUCGCUCAACCAGCGAAAGUUGGGGAGUCUCUUCGGAGACACUUUGCACAGGUGCUGCAUGGCUGUCGUCAGCUCGUGUCGUGAGAUGUUGGGUUAAGUCCCGCAACGAGCGCAGCCCCUGUGAACAGUUGCCAGCGGGGCCACGAGGCCGCCGGGAACUCUGUUCAGACCGCCCUGUUAAACGGGGAGGAAGGUGGGGACGACGUCAAGUCGGUAUGGCCCUUAUGCCCAGGGCUGCACACGUACUACAAUGCCCGGUACAGUAUGAACCGAAGCCGCAAGGCGGGGGAAAUCAUCCAAAACCGGGCCCAGUUCGGAUUGGAGUCUGCAACUCGACUCCAUGAAGCCGGAAUCGCUAGUAAUGGCGCAUCAGCUACGGCGCCGUGAUACGUUCCCGGGUCUUGUACACACCGCCCGUCACAUCAUGGAAGUCGCUUGUA